CUGGCUCAGGACGAACGCUGGCGGCGUGCUUAACACAUGCAAGUCGAACGGGUGUAUUGAAGAAGCUUGCUUAGAGAUACUUUAGUGGCGGACGGGUGAGUAACGCGUGAGGAGCUGUCCCAUGCAGGGGGACAACAGCUGGAAACGGCUGCUAAUACCCCAUAAGCCGAGAGGUAAAAGGAUCAAUCCGGCAGAGGAGGUACUCGCGUCCUAUCAGCUAGUAGGUGAGGUAACGGCUCACCUAGGCGAAGACGGGUAGCCGGCCUGAGAGGGCGAACGGCCACACUGGAACUGAGAUACGGUCCAGACUCCUACGGGAGGCAGCAGUGGGGAAUAUUGGGCAAUGGGGGGAAACCCUGACCCAGCGACGCCGCGUGGGUGAAGAAAUCCUUCGGGAUGUAAAGCCCUGUUGUAUGGGAAGAGCGGAAGACGGUACCAUACGAGGAAGCCCCGGCAAACUACGUGCCAGCCGCCGC
rnacentral:rRNA from 1 species